CCUGCGGCUCUGAUGUCAGUGGAGGAGGAGCCUGCGCCGGAGGGACUAGGGACUGGGAGAGUGAUCUCUACCUGGCAGGAAGCCUGGUAUGAAGCAGUCCUGGCUUUCCAGCUGAGCCGGGCCAAAGGAGAGCUACACCCAGUUUCACGUGUGUCAGUCUCAGGAAGGACUCUGAUGGGCUCUGCUGGAGCAACAUGUCUACCCCUUUACCCCCAUAACUGUUGGCUGGGGAGUGAGGUACUGUACCGGAAGGAAGGGAGCACAGAAGAGUGAUGAUAACAUUCAGCAACAGGAACGAGAAGACCUGUUUGUUCCAUGUUUGCAGUGCACCAGGCGCUGAGGCCUGCAGGAGGCGCUGUGUCAGGGCACCAAAGGGGCAUCCGUCUUCCGGCUGCUCGUGCUGGGCCUCAGACUUCUUUAGCAGGGCAUCCACAUCUGAAGCGGGCAGAGAAGUGGUGAACAGCCCAGGGCCGAGGCCUGUGCCUGGUACAGGUGAGAAGAGACGAAGAAGACAAAACCUCUCCGCUCACAGUCUAGUAAGGAAGCCAGUCCAUCCCUGGUGAUGUCCCCUCUGUGGGAUAUCACCUGGGUUUCAGCCUCGAGCACCCGCAGGCGUCGGCUGGCAGAGGAAAGCAGGGUCUCAAGCUCCAGCUGCAGAGUGUCCAGCUCCUCGAUACCGAUGCCAUCAUCCUCAGAGCGGGCCAGCACCGCUGUGUAGCGGGGACAGACCUUCAGGUGGUCCACAGACUUGAAGUCAUGGAACUGCAAGGGGCAGUCCUUCAGCUCACUCAUGGCCCAGGAUAGGGGACCCUGUGAAGCUGGAGAGGAAAGGACGACUGAUGGAGGAAAAAGUGUCAUGAGAAAAGUCCAAGGGCUCCUUCCAUCCACGGACAGCCUCACCGAGAAAGCCAGGCUUCAGUAUCCUGUUGACAAGGUUGAUGGCACAGCUCCAACAGUGCACUGAGCUAGAUGCAUUUUACUAGCUUCUCAUUGAAUUCCUCACCCAACCACAUGAGCAGGGACCUUGGGGAUCUCCGUUUUACAGAUGAGGAAACUGAGACUCUGUAAGGGUGGGUACAUGUCCAAGCUUACCAGGAUACAAUGUGAAUCCAGAUAGUUUUGAGUCUUUGCCCCUAUCCACCAUGAUAUACUAUGCCUGUCCUCCUGAUGCUCUUCCCUUCAGUUCCAGUCUUCCUGCGUUCUGCUAAGCCCCAGAGUUCCAAGCAUCCCAUCCUUAUAAAGUUAAUAUUUUUUGUGCCUCCCAGUCUCUCCUUGUCUCACUCCUGCCCACCUUUGUCCCUUCUCUUUGCAUCUGAUAGUAGUUAAGAAUGUGGGCUGGUAAGCCAUAUAUCUGAAUUCAAGCCCAGGCUUGAGCAUUCUCUGCUUAUGUAGCUCUGAACAUGUUAAUUAACUCUCCUCUGAGUCUCGGUUUUUCCAUCCAUAAAAUGGGGACAAAAGAGUCCUCAGCCUGUUUCCCCAUAAGAA